AUUGAACGCUGGCGGCAUGCCUUACACAUGCAAGUCGAACGGCAGCACGGGUGCUUGCACCUGGUGGCGAGUGGCGAACGGGUGAGUAAUAUAUCGGAACGUACCUUAUUGUGGGGGAUAACGCAGCGAAAGCUGUGCUAAUACCGCAUAAUCCCUAAGGGGGAAAGCGGGGGACCGUAAGGCCUGGCACAAUUAGAGCGGCCGAUACCUGAUUAGCUAGUUGGUGAGGUAAGGGCUCACCAAGGCAACGAUCAGUAGCUGGUCUGAGAGGACGAUCAGCCACACUGGGACUGAGACACGGCCCAGACUCCUACGGGAGGCAGCAGUGGGGAAUUUUGGACAAUGGGGGCAACCCUGAUCCAGCAAUGCCGCGUGAGUGAAGAAGGCCUUCGGGUUGUAAAGCUCUUUUGCCAGGGAAGAAACAGCAGCUCUAACACAGUUUGCGAAUGACGGUACCUGAAGAAUAAGCACCGGCUAACUACGUGCCAGCCGCCGCCGUAA
rnacentral:rRNA from 1 species